rnacentral:lncRNA from 1 species
GGGAAAGCCUAACUAAGAAUGAAGCCAACACAAAGGAAAUGGACCAAGAGAUGAAGAGAGAGUCCUGAUCUUAUUGUUUGAGCCUCUGGAUCCAUCCAUACCUGAAGCUGGUACUACCUGGGACCUUUGCAAUCAGAUGACAGACUCCCUGAGGGCAGGGCGCGUUGCUCUUGUGGCUCAGCAUUAUAUUCCGAGCGGUUAGCAGAGCGCCUGGAAGAUUAGUCCUGAGCUAUCUACUGCCAAUCCUCCUCUCUUUGCUGAGGAAGACUGGCCCGGAGCUAACAUCCGUGCCCAUCUUCC